UACGUAGGGUGCGAGCGCUAAUCGGAAUUACUGGGCGUAAAGCGUGCGCAGGCGGUUCGUUAAGUCAGAUGUGAAAGCCCCGGGCUCAACCUGGGAACUGCAUUUGAAACUGGCGGGCUUGAGUAUGGCAGAGGGGGGUGGAAUUCCGCGUGUAGCAGUGAAAUGCGUAGAGAUGCGGAGGAACACCGAUGGCGAAGGCAGCCCCCUGGGCCAAUACUGACGCUCAGGCACGAAAGCGUGGGGAGCAAACAGG
rnacentral:rRNA from 1 species